GUCCACGCCGUAAACGAUCAUCACUCGCUGUUGGCGAUAUACUGUCAGCGGCCAAGCGAAAGUAUUAAGUGAUGCACCUGGGGAGUACGCCGGCAACGGUGAAACUCAAAGGAAUUGACGGGGGCCCGCACAAGCGGUGGAGCAUGUGGUUUAAUUCGAUGAUACGCGAGGAACCUUACCAGGGCUUAAAUGUAGUUUGACCGGUCUGGAAACAGACUUUCCCUUCGGGGCAGAUUACAAGGUGCUGCAUGGUU
rnacentral:rRNA from 1 species